GCCGAGUCUCUCGCAAAAAUCCCAAAUUUCAUUUUCACUCUCACUCCGAACCCAAAAAUCAGUGGCUAAUGGACUCCUCCACCGUAGACGGCGGCGCAUCGCUUCCAUCAACCGGAACCGACGCUAGGAAGCGUCGUGUCUCUUACUUCUAUGAGCCAACCAUCGGCGAUUAUUACUACGGCCAAGGUCAUCCGAUGAAGCCGCACCGUAUCAGAAUGGCCCACAAUCUCAUCGUAAACUACUACCUACACAGGCGUAUGGAAAUCAGUCGUCCUUUUCCGGCGGGAGAGGAUGAUAUCCGACGUUUUCACUCGCCGGAUUAUGUUGACUUCCUUGCUACCGUUUCACCGGAGACUCUUCAUGACCAUACACAUUCACGUCAUCUCAAACGGUUUAAUGUUGGUGAGGAUUGUCCUGUUUUCGAUGGGCUUUUUGGGUUUUGUCAAGCUUCUGCUGGUGGAUCUAUUGGGGCUGCGGUUAAGCUUAAUCGGCAGGAUGCUGAUAUAACGAUCAACUGGGCUGGUGGUCUGCACCAUGCAAAGAAAAGUGAAGCUUCUGGUUUUUGCUAUGUGAAUGAUAUUGUUCUUGGUAUUCUUGAGCUCCUCAAAGUCCACAAGCGUGUAUUGUACAUAGACAUUGAUAUUCACCAUGGUGAUGGUGUUGAGGAGGCUUUUUUCACCACAGAUAGAGUCAUGACAGUAUCUUUUCAUAAGUUUGGGGAUUUCUUUCCUGGUACGGGGCACAUCAAAGACAUUGGUGCAAAUCAGGGGAAGUACUAUGCCCUAAAUGUCCCAUUGCAUGAUGGGAUGGAUGACGAUAGUUUUGGUAGACUAUUUCGUCCCACAAUACAAAAAGUCAUGGAGGUCUACCAACCUGAGGCUGUUGUUCUUCAAUGUGGGGCUGAUUCACUGGCUGGAGACAGGUUGGGUUGCUUCAACUUGUCUGUCAAGGGCCAUGCCGCUUGCCUUAGGUACCUCAGAUCCUUCAAUGUCCCUCUGAUGGUAUUGGGUGGUGGAGGUUAUACUAUAAGAAAUGUCGCUAGGUGCUGGUGCUAUGAGACAGCAGUU
rnacentral:misc_RNA from 1 species